AUGAUUUUGUUUUACCUUAACAUUUUGGCACUUCUAACAGAGAGUGUUUCUGCAAAUGCAAUAACACCCUUCUCUACUGAAAAUCAUGCUUUUGAAGGAGGAAAGGCAACUCUUUCAUGCAACUACAGUGGAAGUAACAUACAGAGUUGGCAGUGGUACAGAGAGUAUCCCAACACUGCCCCUGAAUUUCUGUUGCAAGCUUUGGAAAAUUUGGGUCCAGAAAAGAAGGACCGUCAUGUUGCUGAAGCACAAAAGGACAAAAAACUACUGAACUUGGAGAUCUCCAAAACUGAAGUGUCAGAUCCUGCAAUAUACUACUGUGCCCUGGUGCCCACAGUAACAGGAAACCCUUCAACACUGUACAAAAACCUGAGAGGAUGAAGAAAGA